AGUGAACGCUGGCGGUAGGCCUAACACAUGCAAGUCGAACGGCAGCACAGUAAGAGCUUGCUCUUACGGGUGGCGAGUGGCGGACGGGUGAGGAAUACAUCGGAAUCUACUUUUUCGUGGGGGAUAACGUAGGGAAACUUACGCUAAUACCGCAUACGACCUACGGGUGAAAGUAGGGGAUCUUCGGACCUUGCGCGAUUGAAUGAGCCGAUGUCGGAUUAGCUAGUUGGCGGGGUAAAGGCCCACCAAGGCGACGAUCCGUAGCUGGUCUGAGAGGAUGAUCAGCCACACUAGAACUGAGACACGGUCCAGACUCCUACGGGAGGCAGCAGUGGGGAAUAUUGGACAAUGGGCGCAAGCCUGAUCCAGCCAUACCGCGUGGGUGAAGAAGGCCUUCGGGUUGUAAAGCCCUUUUGUUGGGAAAGAAAAGCAGCAGGUUAAUACCCCGCUGUUCUGACGGUACCCAAAGAAUAAGCACCGGCUAACUUCGUG
rnacentral:rRNA from 1 species